rnacentral:rRNA from 1 species
UACGUAGGGGGCUAGCGUUGCUCGGAAUCACUGGGCGUAAAGCGCACGUAGGCGGAUUGCUAAGUCAGGGGUGAAAUCCUGGAGCUCAACUCCAGAACUGCCUUUGAUACUGGCGAUCUCGAGUUCGGGAGAGGUGAGUGGAACUGCGAGUGUAGAGGUGAAAGUUCGUAGAUAUUCGCAAGAACACCAGUGGCGAAGGCGGCUCACUGGCCCGAGUACUGACGCUGAGGUGCGAAAGCGUGGGGAGCAAACAGGG